rnacentral:rRNA from 1 species
AAAUCUAAACGACUCUCGGCAACGGAUAUCUCGGCUCUCGCAUCGAUNNNNAACGCAGCGAAAUGCGAUACUUGGUGUGAAUUGCAGAAUCCCGUGAACCAUCGAGUCUUUGAACGCAAGUUGCGCCCGAAGCCUUGGCCGAGGGCACGCCUGCCUGGGU